AAUCUACUCUUUCGUGGGGGAUAACGUAGGGAAACUUACGCUAAUACCGCAUACGACCUACGGGUGAAAGCAGGGGACCUUCGGGCCUUGCGCGAUUGAAUGAGCCGAUGUCGGAUUAGCUAGUUGGCGGGGUAAAGGCCCACCAAGGCGACGAUCCGUAACUGGUCUGAGAGGAUGAUUAGCCACACUGGAACUGAGACACGGUCCAGACUCCUACGGGAGGCAGCAGUGGGGAAUAUUGGACAAUGGGCGCAAGCCUGAUCCAGCCAUACCGCGUGGGUGAAGAAGGCCUUCGGGUUGUAAAGCCCUUUUGUUGGGAAAGAAAUCCAGCCGGCUAAUACCUG
rnacentral:rRNA from 1 species